GUAGGUGGCAAGCGUUGUCCGGAAUUAUUGGGCGUAAAGCGCGCGCAGGCGGUUCUUUAAGUCUGAUGUGAAAGCCCACGGCUCAACCGUGGAGGGUCAUUGGAAACUGGAGAACUUGAGUACAGAAGAGGAAAGCGGAAUUCCACGUGUAGCGGUGAAAUGCGUAGAGAUGUGGAGGAACACCAGUGGCGAAGGCGGCUUUUCUGGUCUGUAACUGACGCUGAGGCGCGAAAGCGUGGGGAGCAAACAGGGAUUAGAUACCCUGGUAGUCCACGCCGUAAACGAUGAGUGCUAAGUGUUAGGGGGGGUUUCCGCCCCCUUAGUGCUGCAGCUAACGCAUUAAGCACUCCGCCUGGGGAUACGGCCGCAAGGCUG
rnacentral:rRNA from 1 species